GUCCUUCCGCCCUCUGUGAAAAACAAGGGGAGAGCAGGUGAGGAAACCAGGGGCUAGCCAGAGCAGGCACCCGAUUGCCACAGCAAAGCUUUUGCUUGCUUCAAACAUGCCUCCCAUCACACACGGUUCUAAUUCCCCAUGACCUUGCACUUCUCUCCAGCUGCCUACAGAAAGCACCAAAGAAACCUUUUUUGGAGUAUUUCAGCCAGAGGACAAAGCCUUACCAGAAAUUAGGGGCUUUUUAUUUUCAUUCCCUCCCAGCUUUUGUGCAACCAAGUCCUCAGAGAUGCCUGGGGCAGUGCUUCUGCUUCCCAGAUGGAAUACCCAGACAUCCUCCACCCAGUUUGUCGACUGCUUGGUUCUCAGUGUCCAUCCUCCAAAGCCAUUUUUCAGUGGAUAUUACCACAGACUUGUGCCCAUUGAAAGGCGAAGCCUUUGCUGCUGGCAGGACACAAAGGCUGCAGGGCUCAUGUCUGGAGUGAGGUUUUCUGCCACAGGGACCCAAAUUUAAUUCUCUCUCAGAUGCCUCCAAGAGAAGUAGGAGAAGACAGGCUGAAAACAGUUUUAUUACUGCCGUGAUUUACCCAUCAAGCACCCCUCUGCUGGAAAUAAUUUUUCCAAAGCUGCAACACAAGAUGCAGUCCAUUGUAAGUCUGAAAUAUCUGGUCAUCUGUACAAAUAUUGCCAUCACACCAGCUGAGGAGGUUGUGCAGCAGCUAUGUUUAUGUCUUCAAAGUUGCUGUUUGGGGUUUUAAGCAGCACUGAUAAAAUACCAAGCAUUUGUUUCCAACACAUAAUAAUUGCUCUGUAUGCCAGUAUUUUUUAUUUAUUGAGGUUUUAGCUUGGGUUUUUACAUGUGUACAGUGUAUUUAAGGAGUGGAAAUAUAAGAAAAGAAAAUAUGUGGUGGGUAAAGAAAUGAAAAGGCAGAAAAUACUUAGGAUGUUUUGUUUUGUUUUGGGUUUUUUUUUGUUGUUUUUUUUUUGUUCUUGGCAUUUUCCUGAAGGAGACUAUCACCAUCUGUCUGGCAUACCGAAUACAAUAAACAGUAAGCACCUGU